GCCGGGUGUGGUGGCGCAUGCCUGUUACCCCAGUGACUCAGGAGGCUGAGGCAGGAGGAUGGCAGGUUCAAAGCCAGCCUCAGCAAUUUAGCAACUCAGUGAAACCCUGUCUCUA
rnacentral:sRNA from 1 species